UACGAGGGGAGCAAGCGUUGUUCGGAUUUACUGGGCGUAAAGGGCGCGUAGGCGGCGUGACAAGUCACUUGUGAAAUCUCCGGGCUUAACUCGGAACGGUCAAGUGAUACUGUCGUGCUAGAGUACAGAAGGGGCAACUGGAAUUCUCGGUGUAGCGGUGAAAUGCGUAGAUAUCGAGAGGAACACCUGCGGCGAAGGCGGGUUGCUGGGCUGAUACUGACGCUGGAGGCGCGAAAGCUAGGGGAGCGAACGGG
rnacentral:rRNA from 1 species